CCUGGUGUGAUGGCACUGUAUCUUAGCUAUCAGGGAGCUUGGGGCUGGAGGAGUUCUUGAACACUGGAGUUCUGAGCUUCGGUGUGUUAAGCCACUGGGUGUCUAUGCUAAGUUUGGCAUUAAUAUGAUGAGCCUCCUGGGAGUAGGAAGCCACCAGGUUGCAUAAUGAGGAACUAACUAGCUCAAGUCAGAAACAGAGUAGGUCACAGCCCCUGUGCAAAUCAGUAGUGGGAUCAGAACCAUGAGUAGAGCUCCUUGGCUUCCAAUGUGGUUGAGAUAAGGAGACCAGUCUUAA
rnacentral:SRP_RNA from 1 species